CGUUGCAAACGAUCUACUUCAAAUUUCUACCACGAGAGGCCCGUGCCAGAUUCCCAUCGUAGACCUUCACCCAAGCUUCCAUUAUGGAUGGAUUUCGUUCGGAUGUCCAUUGUAGACCGGCAUUGGCCGAGACUCCUCGAUAAAUGAUCCCUGUCCGAGCUUCUAUGGAGAUCGUACUCCAAUCGGACUUCGACCGAUAGGUCUGGACCCUCUAGAGGGCCGCA
rnacentral:lncRNA from 1 species